rnacentral:rRNA from 1 species
UACGAAGGGGGCGAGCGUUGUUCGGAAUUAUUGGGCGUAAAGCGUGCGUAGGCGGUUUGGUAAGUCGACUGUGAAAGCCCAGAGCUUAACUUUGGAACUGCAUUCGAAACUACCAGGCUAGAGUAUGGCGGGGGAUAGUGGAAUUCUUAGUGUAGGGGUGAAAUCCGUAGAUAUUAAGAGGAACUCCAGUGGCGAAAGCGGCUAUCUACACCAUUACUGACGCUGAGGCACGAAAGCGUGGGGAGCAAACAGG